rnacentral:rRNA from 1 species
UUUGGUCGCCAACGAGUGGCGGACGGGUGAGUAACACGUAGGUAACCUGCCCAGAAGCGGGGGACAACAUUUGGAAACAGAUGCUAAUACCGCAUAACAGCGUUGUUCGCAUGAACAACGCUUAAAAGAUGGCUUCUCGCUAUCACUUCUGGAUGGACCUGCGGUGCAUUAGCUUGUUGGUGGGGUAACGGCCUACCAAGGCGAUGAUGCAUAGCCGAGUUGAGAGACUGAUCGGCCACAAUGGGACUGAGACACGGCCCAUACUCCUACGGGAGGCAGCAGUAGGGAAUCUUCCACAAUGGGCGCAAGCCUGAUGGAGCAACACCGCGUGAGUGAAGAAGGGUUUCGGCUCGUAAAGCUCUGUUGUUAAAGAAGAACACGUAUGAGAGUAACUGUUCAUACGUUGACGGUAUUUAACCAGAAAGUCACGGCUAACUACGUGCCAGCAGCCGCGGUAAUACGUAGGUGGCAAGCGUUAUCCGGAUUUAUUGGGCGUAAAGAGAGUGCAGGCGGUUUUCUAAGUCUGAUGUGAAAGCCUUCGGCUUAACCGGAGAAGUGCAUCGGAAACUGGAUAACUUGAGUGCAGAAGAGGGUAGUGGAACUCCAUGUGUAGCGGUGGAAUGCGUAGAUAUAUGGAAGAACACCAGUGGCGAAGGCGGCUACCUGGUCUGCAACUGACGCUGAGACUCGAAAGCAUGGGUAGCGAACAGGAUUAGAUACCCUGGUAGUCCAUGCCGUAAACGAUGAGUGCUAGGUGUUGGAGGGUUUCCGCCCUUCAGUGCCGGAGCUAACGCAUUAAGCACUCCGCCUGGGGAGUACGACCGCAAGGUUGAAACUCAAAGGAAUUGACGGGGGCCCGCACAAGCGGUGGAGCAUGUGGUUUAAUUCGAAGCUACGCGAAGAACCUUACCAGGUCUUGACAUCUUGCGCCAACCCUAGAGAUAGGGCGUUUCCUUCGGGAACGCAAUGACAGGUGGUGCAUGGUCGUCGUCAGCUCGUGUCGUGAGAUGUUGGGUUAAGUCCCGCAACGAGCGCAACCCUUGUUACUAGUUGCCAGCAUUAAGUUGGGCACUCUAGUGAGACUGCCGGUGACAAACCGGAGGAAGGUGGGGACGACGUCAGAUCAUCAUGCCCCUUAUGACCUGGGCUACACACGUGCUACAAUGGACGGUACAACGAGUCGCGAACUCGCGAGGGCAAGCAAAUCUCUUAAAACCGUUCUCAGUUCGGACUGCAGGCUGCAACUCGCCUGCACGAAGUCGGAAUCGCUAGUAAUCGCGGAUCAGCAUGCCGCGGUGAAUACGUUCCCGGGCCUUGUACACACCGCCCGUCACACCAUGAGAGUUUGUAACACCCAAAGUCGGUGGGGUAACCUUUUAGGAGCCAGCCGCCUAAGGUGGGACAGAUG